GGGGUGGUGGCGCAGUUGGCUAGCGCGUAGGUCUCAUAAUCCUGAGGUUGAGAGUUCAAGCCUCUCUCACCUCA